rnacentral:rRNA from 1 species
CAGCAGCCGCGGUAAUACGAAGGGGGCUAGCGUUGUUCGGAAUUACUGGGCGUAAAGCGCGUGUAGGCGGGUCCUUAAGUCAGGGGUGAAAUGCCAAGGCUCAACCUUGGAGCUGCCUUUGAUACUGGGGAUCUUGAGUCCGGGAGAGGUGAGUGGAACUGCGAGUGUAGAGGUGAAAUUCGUAGAUAUUCGCAAGAACACCAGUGGCGAAGGCGACUCUCUGGUUUGUAACUGACGCUGAGGAGCGAAAGCGUGGGGAGCGAACAGGAUUAGAUACCCGCGUAGUCCCUGUCUCUUAUAA